GUCAUCACUCUUUCUUUUGCAGAUAUACUAAUUCAUUUAAAAGUCUAAAUCUACUUAAUCUGCAAGAUAUCUAAGGCUCUGGACAUGUGAAAGUUUCCCUUUGGGAAACUGAGGAUAAUGCAGUAUGGAACCCUCUUUUGGGCAACACAAAGAAAGGCCAUUCUUUCUGUGAUGAUGGUGGUGCUCUUCAUUGCUGUGAUGGUGAUGGACCUCAGCCUUCAUCCCCACAUUCAGCUGGCUCAUCAGAGCCUGCAACUCUGGGCAGAGAAAUGAGGGUGCUGCUUUUAGCCCCAGAUCCUUUUCUUCUAUACCUCCCCCGCCCCCCACAACUGCCUCUGCCUUCAGGAAGCCUUCCAGAACUGUUCCACUUCUCCAAGAAUAUCUGGACUGAGUAUAGUACUCUUUUCAAGUGGCUAGUACUUAAUAAACGUUGGCUAAAAUUAAAUUGAGGACAUCCAAAGAUUGCAAUGGAGGGAGGAAGAGAGAUGGAGAGAGAGGUGUAUGAAAGGAACUGAAAAGUACAUUACCCUGUUUUCACAAUGACCAGGACAUGUUGGAUAUUUUAGCACCUUCUGGGCCUAUUUUUUCUUUUUCUUUUUUUAAUUAAAGUUAUUUUUAUUUUCAAAA